ACUCCUACGGGAGGCAGCAGUAGGGAAUAUUGGACAAUGGGCGAAAGCCUGAUCCAGCAAUGCCGCGUGAGUGAUGAAGGCCUUAGGGUUGUAAAGCUCUUUUACCCGGGAUGAUAAUGACAGUACCGGGAGAAUAAGCUCCGGCUAACUCCGUGCCAGCAGCCGCGGUAAUACGGAGGGAGCUAGCGUUGUUCGGAAUUACUGGGCGUAAAGCGCACGUAGGCGGCUAUUCAAGUCAGAGGUGAAAGCCCGGGGCUCAACCCCGGAACUGCAUUUGAAACUGGCAGGCUAGAGUCUUGUAGAGGGGGGUAGAAUUUCAGGUGUAGCGGUGAAAUGCGUAGAGAUCUGAAGGAAUACCAGUGGCGAAGGCGGCCCCCUGGACAAAGACUGACGCUCAGAUGCGAAAGCGUGGGAGCAAACAGGAUUAGAUACCCUGGUAGACUGUCA
rnacentral:rRNA from 1 species